rnacentral:rRNA from 1 species
ACGGAGGGUGCAAGCGUUGUCCGGAUUUAUUGGGUUUAAAGGGUGCGUAGGCGGCACGUUAAGUCAGUGGUGAAAGCCUCCCGCUCAACGGGAGAAAUGCCAUUGAUACUGGCGUGCUUGAGUACGGACGAGGUAGGCGGAAUUUAUGGUGUAGCGGUGAAAUGCAUAGAUACCAUAAAGAACACCGAUAGCGUAGGCAGCUUACUAGACCGUAACUGACGCUGAGGCACGAAAGCGUGGGGAGCGAACAGG